UGCAAGUCGAGCGGUAGAGAGAAGCUUGCUUCUCUGAGAGCGGCGGACGGGUGAGUAAUGCCUAGGAAUCUGCCUGGUAGUGGGGGAUAACGUUCGGAAACGGACGCUAAUACCGCAUACGUCCUACGGGAGAAAGCAGGGGACCUUUCGGGCCUUGCGCUAUCAGAUGAGCCUAGGUCGGAUUAGCUAGUUGGUGAGGUAAUGGCUCACCAAGGCGACGAUCCGUAACUGGUCUGAGAGGAUGAUCAGUCACACUGGAACUGAGACACGGUCCAGACUCCUACGGGAGGCAGCAGUUGGGAAUAUUGGACAAUGGGCGAAAGCCUGAUCCAGCCAUGCCGCGUGUGUGAAGAAGGUCUUCGGAUUGUAAAGCACUUUAAGUUGGGAGGAAGGGCAGUUACCUAAUACGUGAUUGUUUUGACGUUACCGACAGAAUAAGCACCGGCUAACUCUGUGCCAGCAGCCGCGGUAAUACAGAGGGUGCAAGCGUUAAUCGGAAUUACUGGGCGUAAAGCGCGCGUAGGUGGUUUGUUAAGUUGGAUGUGAAAUCCCCGGGCUCAACCUGGGAACUGCACUCAAAACUGACUGACUAGAGUAUGGUAGAGGGUGGUGGAAUUUCCUGUGUAGCGGUGAAAUGCGUAGAUAUAGGAAGGAACACCAGUGGCGAAGGCGACCACCUGGACUGAUACUGACACUGAGGUGCGAAAGCGUGGGG
rnacentral:rRNA from 1 species